GGGAGGAAAAGAAACUAACAAGGAUUUUCUUAGUAGCGGCGAGCGAAAAGAAAACAGUUCAGCACUAAGUCACUUUGCCUUUAUGGCAAAUGUGAGAUGCAGUGUACGGAAUGUCAAAUUUCUAGUAUGAGAAAUUAACGAUUUAAGUCCUUCUUAAAUGAGGCCAUUUACCCAAAGAGGGUGCCAGGCCCGUAUAACGUUAAUGAUUACUAGAUGGCAUUUCCAAAGAGUCGUGUUGCUUGAUAGUGCAGCACUAAGUGGGUGGUAAACUCCAUCUAAAACUAAAUAUAACCAUGAGACCGAUAGUAAACAAGUACCGUGAGGGAAAGUUGAAAAGAACUCUGAAUAGAGAGUUAAAUAGUACGUGAAACUGCUUAGAGGUUAAGCCCGAUGAACCUGAAUAUCCAUCAUGGAAAAUUCAUCAUUAUGAUUAUGAUAUUUAUUAUAUGGUGGUGUAGUGGGUUAUUGUUGCUGCAUACAAUAUAAAAAAACAUAUAAAUUAAUAUUGUAAUAAUGGUGUGCAUUUUUUCCAUAAAAGGACAUUGUAAUCUAUUAACAUAUUAAAAAUAGUAAAUAUUUAUCAUAAGAUCAAUUGCGCAAGAGUUUAUUCAAAUUAUUUUGUUUUCAAUUUAACAUAGAAUAAAUGCUUUUGAUUUGGUAAAGUGUUGAUAGAUUCGUUAUGGGGGAAUAUAGUGCUUAAAUAUAAAUAUAAUAUAUUUUAUAAUGGCAUAUAUUUUUAAAUAAAAUAAUUUUAUUUUUUUUUAUAUGCUUAUUAUAUGCACUUAUAUGAUUAACAAUGCGAAAGAUUCAGGAUGCCUUCGGGACCCGUCUUGAAACACGGACCAAGGAGUCUAACAUAUUUGCAAGUUAUUGGGAAUUCGAAAACCUAAUAGCGAAAUUAACAUAACUUUUAUGUUUUCAAAUAUAUAUUUUAUAUAUAUUUUAUAUAUAUGUAUAUGUAUGAAAUUUGGGAUUAGUUUUUAGACGACUAAUUUCUUUCUUUAUAUUUUUGUGGGGAGAGAGAUUGCGGUCUUAUUAAUUCAAUCCCGGGGCGUUCUAUAAAAGUUAUGUAUAAUAAUAUUUUAUAUUAUUUAUACCUCUAACUAGGGCGUACCCUGAGCAUAUAUGCUGUGACCCGAAAGAUGGUGAACUAUACUUGAUCAGGUUGAAGUCAGGGGAAACCCUGAUGGAAGACCGAAACAG
rnacentral:rRNA from 1 species